rnacentral:miRNA from 1 species
ACAGCCUCUGCUUCUUCUCAG